UUUACCAGACUCUUUCUGCAGAUGAUCUUCGUGUAGCAGAAACAUCUGAUUUCAUCGCUGCGAAGCUAAGAGAGUUUCAUAAGCUUGAUAUGCCUGGUCCAAAGAACGUUCUUCUCUGGGAAAGACUUAGGUAAAAGAGAAAAGAAAUUUCAUUUCUUUAUGUAUAAGCAUAACAACGUUUCUUGAUAAAGUCUUUGUUGAUUUUUUAGGACUUGGCUUAAGGAGGCUAAGAACUUGGCUUCACCUAUAGAGAUGGAUAAGUAUCGGUUGGAAGGUUUGGAAAAUGAAAUCAAUUUGUUGGAAGAGAGACUUACUCGGGAUGAUCAAGAGAUUGGUUUCUGUCACAACGAUCUUCAGUAUGGAAAUGUCAUGAUUGAUGAAGUAACCAAUGCCAUUACCAUCAUAGUAAGCUUUUUGAAUCAAAAGCUUAUACCCUUUUCAUCAAGAAAGUGUUCUGUUUUUAAUAAGUUUUUGAUUGCAGGACUAUGAGUAUUCGAGUUUCAACCCAAUUGCUUAUGACAUUGCAAACCACUUUUGUGAGAUGGCUGCUAAUUACCAUUCAGACACUCCUCAUGUUCUGGACUACACUCUAUAUCCAGGUCCAUAUCUGUAAAUGCAAGUGUAUAUAUCUCUUAUGUUACUCAAGGGUAGUUUAGAGUCUGAUUGUGUGUAUAUGUGUGGAAUGAUAAACAAACAGGAGAAGGAGAAAGGAGAAGGUUCAUUAGCACAUAUCUUGGCUCUACAGGUUUGUGUCCUAUGAAGCAUUAGGUACUUCUCCACACCUCAAGAAAAACUCGUCUCUAAAUCAUGUUUUUGUGAAUCUCAGGGAAUGCAACAAGUGAUAAAGAAGUAGAGAGGUUAUUGAAAGAUGCAGAGAGCUACACUUUAGCAAACCAUAUCUUCUGGGGACUAUGGGGAAUCAUCUCGGUUAG
rnacentral:sRNA from 1 species